rnacentral:rRNA from 1 species
AUUGAACGCUGGCGGCAGGCCUAACACAUGCAAGUCGAGCGGAUGAAGGGAGCUUGCUCCUGGAUUCAGCGGCGGACGGGGGAGUAAUGCCUAGGAAACUGCCUGGGAGUGGGGGGUAACGUCCGGAAAAGGGGGCUAAUACCGCAUACGGCCUGAGGGGGGAAGUGGGGGAUCUUCGGACCUCACGCCAUCAGAUGAGCCUAGGUCGGAUUAGCUAGUUGGUGGGGUAAAGGCCUACCAAGGCGACGAUCCGUAACUGGUCUGAGAGGACGAUCAGUCACACUGGAACUGAGACACGGUCCAGACUCCUACGGGAGGCAGCAGUGGGGAAUAUUGGACAAUGGGCGAAAGCCUGAUCCAGCCAUGCCGCGUGUGUGAAGAAGGUCUUCGGAUUGUAAAGCACUUUAAGUUGGGAGGAAGGGCAGUAAGUUAAUACCUUGCUGUUUUGACGUUACCAACAGAAUAAGCACCGGCUAACUUCGUG